rnacentral:rRNA from 1 species
GAGAGGGUGAUCGGCCACACUGGGACUGAGACACGGCCCAGACUCCUACGGGAGGCAGCAGUAGGGAAUCUUCCACAAUGGACGAAAGUCUGAUGGAGCAACGCCGCGUGAGUGAUGAAGGUUUUCGGAUCGUAAAACUCUGUUGUAAGGGAAGAACAGAUACGAGAGGUAAUGCUCGUAUCCUGACGGUACCUUGCGAGAAAGCCACGGCUAACUACGUGCCAGCAGCCGCGGUAAUACGUAGGUGGCAAGCGUUGUCCGGAAUUAUUGGGCGUAAAGUGCGCGCAGGCGGCCUUUUAAGUCUGAUGUGAAAGCCCCCGGCUCAACCGGGGAGGGUCAUUGGAAACUGGAAGGCUUGAGUACAGAAGAGAAGAGUGGAAUUCCAUGUGUAGCGGUGAAAUGCGUAGAGAUGUGGAGGAACACCAGUGGCGAAGGCGACUCUUUGGUCUGUAACUGACGCUGAGGCGCGAAAGCGUGGGGAGCAAACAGGAUUAGAUACCCUGGUAGUCCACGCCGUAAACGAUGAGUGCUAGGUGUUGGGGGGUUUCCGCCCCUCAGUGCUGAAGCUAACGCAUUAAGCACUCCGCCUGGGGAGUACGGCCGCAAGGCUGAAACUCAAAGGAAUUGACGGG